rnacentral:rRNA from 1 species
AUGAUGCAGCAAGGGAUUGUGCCUAAUGUGGUGACAUAUAGCUCGAUUAUUGAUGCCUUGUGCAAGGUCAGGGCAAUGGACAAGGCAAAGCUGGUCCUUCAGCAGAUGGUUGAUAAUGGUGUUCAACCAGAUGUUGUUACUUGGAACUCAUUCAUGUACUCCUUUUGCAAGCAUGGAAAAAGCAAAGAAGCUGCAGAAUUUUUUGACUCCAUGACCACCAAGGGCCUCAAACCUGAUAUUGUCGCGUACUCUACUCUUCUUCACGGGUAUGCUACUGAAGGAUGCCUAGCCGAUAUGAUUAAUCUCUUUAAUACAAUGGAAGACAAUGGUAUUGUAGCCAACUGCAAUGUUUUCAACAUAUUAAUUGAUGCAUAUGCUAAACGUGGAAUGAUGCAUGAAGCUAUGCUCAUAUUUACCGAAAUGCAGGAACAAAGAGUUAGUCUGGAUGUGUGCACCUAUGCAACUGUAAUAGCUGCACUUUGCAGAAUGGGCAGGCUGGCUGAUGCCAUGGACAAACUAAAUGAGAUGAUUGCUAUGGGAUUACAACCGAACAAGGUUGUUUAUCACUCUCUAAUUCAGGGCUUUUGUACACAUAGUGAUUUGGUGAAAGCAAAGGCCUUGGUUUCUGAAAUGAUGAACAAAGGUAUUCCUCGUCCAAACAUUGUGUUCUUCAGCUCAGUAAUAAACAGCCUAUGCAAGGAAGGAAGGGUUACAGAUGCACACGAUAUCUUCGACUUGGCUAUAAACAUUGGUGAGAGGCCUGACGUUAUUACAUUUAAUUCACUGAUUGACGGAUAUUGUUUAGCCGGGAAGAUGGAUAAAGCAUUCGGAGUACUUGAUGCCAUGGUAUCAGCUGGCAUUGAGCACAAUGUUGUCACAUACAAUACACUUGUUGAUGGCUAUUCUAGAAAUGGAAGGAUUGAUGAUGGGUUGACCCUAUUCAGAGAAAUGACGCGUAACAAAAUUAAACCUACAACUGCUACAUAUGGCGCCAUACUUCAUGGGUUGUUUCGUGCUGGCAGAACUUCUUCUGCGAAGAAAAUGUUCAAUGAGAUGAUUGAAAGUGGAACAACAGUGGACAUUCCCAUAUAUGCUAUAAUUCUUGGAGGACUUUGUAGAAACAAUUGCGUUGAUGAAGCAAUCAUCUUGUUCGAGAAAUUAGGUGCAAUGAAUGUGAAGUUGGAUGUUGGAAUAUUCAAUACCAUGAUUAAUGCAGUGUACACGGUUAAGGGAAGAGAAGAAGCUAAGGAUUUGUUUGCUGCAAUAUCAGCCAAUUGGUUGGUACCUAAUGCUUCUUCUUACGGUGUUAUGAUAACAAAUCUUCUAAGAGAAGGAUUAGUGGAAGAAGCUGACAAUAUGUUUUCAUCAAUGGACAAGAGUGGUUGUGCUCCUAGCUCUCGUCUGUUAAAUAUUAUCAUCAGAAUG